AGUUAUUUUCGUUUGUGGUCAUUGUGAGAUUGAUUUCUAAAUAUCGCACUAUGUUAGUUCUUCUAUUUUCUUAAGUCAUAGUUCCGGAAACGAUAGAUCUGCAUUUCACUUAUUUAUUUUAUUUUUUGUGAAUCGGUGAAUUCCGGUGUUGAAUUUAGCUGAUUUUUAUAGUUUUGGUGCUUGUGGUUAUUGUUGCCUGCAAUCGUUGUGCAGUAGCUCUUGUCUCUGUUCUUCUUGUGUAUGUGGAAAUCUUCAAUUUUAUAAUUUGUCUAGGUUAUCAAUUUUAGACGAGCUAAGAGUAUUUUAUUUAGUGAAAGUUAGUAUUUUAUGUUUAUCUACUUCAAUUUUUUGGAAUAUGUGGAUGCCUUAUUUCUUGCUUAUUGGAAGUUCCUGCUGGCUGAUUUAGUGAGUGGAUUGUAAAUUAACGGUUUCACAUUAUUUCCUGAAUUAUGUUGUUGAUAUGCUAGAUUGCGCAUUCUAGCAAUAUGGCAUAUCUAUAGGAAGUUCUUUCAUAUAUAGCUGAUCUUUAGUACCAGCUCUUCUAAUAUUAGCAUUUAUCAUUUCUACUCUACAUGAGAUGUCUGCUCCAGUGAUGGAUGGCAAUGGCACCGUAAUUUCGACCACCAUAGGGGGAAAGAAUGGGGAACCUUAGCAUUGUCUGAUUGUUGGUCUUUACUGAAUGAGUUUAUAACUACAGCUGGGAUGUUGGCCAUUUGGGUUGUAUGAAGCAAACAGGCUUGACUUAGUUAGACUAUAGCGAAGAAUCUUGAGCUGUCAAGUCUAGCUCUAGAAACUGAGACGAUCUUUAGUGACCUGCAAACAGUUUGUUACGUGGCAGAGCGAGUUGUAAGGACCGGUUCAUUGGAGAGACUUUAAACGUUUGAUUAGAAUUCCAAAUAAAAAUAUGUAUCAUCCAAUGUGAGACGAGCGGCUUUAAAGAUGAUAAACGAGUUAUUUUACCCAUGAAUUCUGUUGCAGAGUGACGAAUUAUGAAGAAUUGAAGGUUUUUGUUUAUAAUGAUGAGAUUGAUUUUAAUUUUAAAGUUAAUGUAGUGUAUAAAGAAGUUUAAAAAUGAUGAGUAAUUAUCCAUUGUGUUU